rnacentral:tRNA from 2 species
CCCCCCGUAGCUCAGUGGAUAGAGCAUCCGGUUUCUACCCGGCUGGUCGGGAGUUCGAAUCUCUCCGGGGGGGCCA